GCCCUGGUGGCACAGUGGUUAAAGCAUUCAACUGCUAAUUGAAAAGUCAGUGGUUCGAAACCACCAGCAGCU
rnacentral:tRNA from 1 species